GGGGUAUUGGAACACUGACGUCAAUAGACUUCAUGUGAGGACCAUCUUGCUUUGCUGAGCUGAACCAUCCUGUAGUUGUAGUACUAAAGCGAAACGCUUUGGUGAAGUGAUAGUGUAAAAUUGUGUUGGUGUUUUAUCCACGUUCUUGUGGAUCUGAGACAUUAUCCUGACAAUUGCAUUUUCAAUGUGUAUGGCUAAAGAGUAUUUUGGUGAGACAGUGCUCGCAUACAUGGAGUUCCAUUUGGAUAGCGCAGAAUAUUGCCAAGCUCAACACAAAUAAAUUACUAAUAAAAAGAGGCAUACCGACUGCCGUCGAAUUAGUCAUUUUCAUCACAGCUAACUAGAUAUUGAAUUUGACCUCAUCCUUCAAGACGCCAAAUUAGUACAUCAUAUGUCAUUCUGAGUUUCUCAUCCGUCAAACUGCACUAAAAACUUUUGUUGCGUUCUUCCUUUCAAUUGCUAAGCAUAUCAACCUAGUGUAAAUAAAUUGCAAUUGUAAACAAUUGAAAAAACAGUAACUUUCUUUAAAAAGACUGAUCUUUUAACUAGUUUUUAUUUUUAAAUAUAUAUUUGGAGAUCAUCAAGUCGGUCUUCUAAAAAUUGUGUGAUAUUUAAAGAAAAGUCGUGUACGUCGGGGCAUGAAUCAUAAUUCUCAAGGACAAGGAAUCCCUGUAGCCAUGCGUCAGAAAGAUCUUAGACCUGCUGCAGCAGAAAUUGAAUACAAAGGAUUCAAAUUCCUCAUCACCGAUAGACCUGCUGAUCAGACCAUCGUGGGUUACAUCCAGGAGCUGAAAAAACACCGGGUAACGGCCGUUGUGAGAGUGUGCGAACCGUCGUACAAAGUGGAGGAGCUAAACAACCAGAAUAUUGAAGUCUUCGACCUAGGCUACGACGACGGCACCUUUCCGCCAACUAAAAUAGUCGAUGAAUGGUUCAAGAUUCUUAAAAAACAGUUCAAUGACAAUCCCGAUUGCUGCGUAGCCGUUCAUUGCAUCGCUGGCCUGGGAAGAGCUCCUGUCAUGGUGGCUCUGGCUCUUAUUGAGCUCGGACUUAAAUAUGAGGAGGCUGUCGAGUUGAUUAGAGAAAAAAGGAGAGGUGCAAUAAAUGCCAAACAACUAGCAUUUCUGGAGAAAUACCGUCCCAAAUCCAGACUAAAAUCCAAGAAUGGCCACAAGAACUCUUGCUGCGUUCAGUAAAUAAUAUCUCUCUUAAUAUGUGUUCAAAUAGCGACAGGGCACUUACUAAAAUAAUUAUUUCGGUCUCAUGAGAGUUAAAUAUACGUAAUGCUUAUUUUAAAAUAAAAUAUAAAUAAUCAUAAUUGAGCUGAAACAAGUUGUUCACAAAUUAGAAGCUUAACCUGUCUGGAUCCCCCUGAUCCUAUAACCUAUGUGAUUUUUUUAGCUGGAUCUUGUUCCAAUAUUUUCUUAAUUUUUACUUAACAUCUCCAUAGCACCAACAACGCACUAAGUAGGUCCAUUAUUGAGCAAUUUUUUAUUGUCCAUGAAUUGACCCUAAAAAAUAAUAAGAUAAGCCAAGCUUUUCGUUUAUUUAUUUUUUUUACCUGCAUUGGUGAUGAUUCUGUGGAAGAUUUCCUGCAGUUGACUUAUUCAAUUGUAUUGUCUAAUAUCUCACAUUGCAGAUAUUUCUUCUUUCAGUGUUACUGUAGUAAACUGAAAAUUUAAUCAUCUCUGUAUUCACUUUCAUCAUUAGAUCAAAGGGUUUGCUAUAAUUAGUAAAGCACAGUCAAUUCCCUAGUUACACGUCCCGUUUACUACAGCUGUAGUAAACUCACUUUCAGUACAAUAUAUCUACGAAGCGUAAGAAGGUUAAAAUAUGUGAAAGUCAGUCGCAAUAUAAAGUUUCUUAUAUCAAGUGAAUAUAUUUAAAAAGAGAAACACACGACAAGAUAAAUGUACGUAGAUAUUGUACAAGAAUCCUAUUCGUACUAGCUUUCAACUGAGGUUUUCUCAUAUUGCUUACCACAAAAAUGAAAUGUGUACAUACAAUCAAACUUAUAUAGAAUCAUCUGAUAUUUCUUAUUAUUUCAAGCGAGUUUUAAAAAACCAACAUACGAAGUCAAACAAUAUUUAUUUUAAAGCAAUUUAAUCCCCAAUACAUAAAAAUAAAUAAAAGAACAAAGUCUUGUAAUAACAAAUUGAAACUAGUAUAAGUCAGUGUUACCACCCUUAGCCCUUAUGCAAAGUUCAAUUGGCGUGAACACGCUCCUAGUCAAAUUGACAACAUUUUGUUCUUGUAGGUUGUUCCAUUCUUCAAGAGCAGCUUGUACUGGCCGUGCGGUAUUUUAUAGACUAUCCCGGCGAGCUCUAAUUUUUCUUUUAAGCGUAUCCCACAAAUGCUGUAUAGGGUUAAGGUCGGGUGAGCAAUCAGGCCACUCCAUAACAGUGAUAGCUUCUGCUUCAAGAAAGUGUGUAGUCAAUCUGCUGGUAUAUGGAGGUGCAGUAUCAUGCAUGAAAAUUAAAUUUUCUCGAUUGCUCCUCUCCAGAACCUAACUAUAUGUUCGAGAACCAAAUCACCAUACCUGCGAGUUGUUAAAAUUGAUUGGAUGAAAAUUAAAUUUUUUUACAGAUCAUAAUACCGUCCCAGAAUAUGACACUUCCUCAUUUAUAUGUGUGGACAGAUCUGGUAGUCUCCGUCCUUUCUGGUCUUCCACAUAUUCGAAAUCUUGGGCACGAAUCCUUUUUUAUUGUUUUCACUGAAACACUUACCCCUGUAUCUUCCAAAAACUGCCUUUGGUGCUGUAGAUGAGAAAUUGUUGGGUCUCUUUUAGCUUAGCUGUUUGGACAAUGAAACGAUCUUGGUGAGCCGUUGUUGCUUUUUGGCAACAUUUGCAAAAAUCUUUAUUAUUCGCAACAGUAACAAGCAGGCGCGGAUCUAGAAAUUCAUAAUAGGGGGGUCAAACUUACCUCCAAUAUUAUAUUUUCUAAAUUUAGCCAUACCUACGACUCACACUUACUCUAACGAUAAAAUACACUAUAUUUAUAAUCCCAGAUACCUACAGUAUCAAAAAGAUUGAGCUCUGAUGGGAUUCUUUCCGUAUUAUCAAGCCGUAGUUGCAAGUAAAAUAAAACGGAAGUAUCAUAAAUACAUUUAAUAUUAAAUCAUUAUUAAUAUACAUAAUUUUAAAUAUGAAGUGACAAAUAUCUUUAUCUAAGGUCGGGAAUAAUAUAACAAUAAAGACAAAUAUAUUAAUAUAAUGGUUUCUACAAGUUGUGAAUAAAGUAACUAUAAACCAGAUUUACGGAAAGCAAUACAUACCCUACUAAACACAAUUUGUGAUACUGGGAACAACUUGGUUUAACAAUACACAUAAAGAAAACAAAACUAAGUUAUCCUAGUUUAUCUAAGAAAACUUACGGUUAUCAGUAAGAAAUGUGAAGUCAUAACAAGAAUCCAGAUAAAGAAUGAAGAUAUUGAACAAAUGGACAAAAUGAAAUACUUAGGAGUCUGGAUUAAGGAAAAUCUAAAUAUGCAAUCAAAUUUAAUCAAGAAUAGACCAAUCAAAAGCAGCCUUUUUGAAGAUAAGGAAAUUACUAAGUAUGAGUAACCAAAAACUCAAAUUGCAACUCCUAUAUCGAGUGGUAAAAUGUCCACUCUACUCUAUUCUUCUUUUAAGGUACUGAAGCUUGGACUGCUAAUGUUGACAUAAUUAUAAAGUUGGAGACUUUUGAGAUUUGAGAUGUGUUUUCUUAGAAAAAUUUUGAAAAUACCAUGGACUGAUCAUAUUACGAACGAAAUGGUGUUGCAAAAACCGGAGGAGACAGAGAACCUUUGACCACCAUUAAAAGGAGGAAAACAGCAUAUUUUGGGCACAUACUUAGAAAUGAUAAAUACGAUUUGUUAUAGCUAAUUAUGAAGGGUAGCAUAGAAGGAAAAAUGGGUCCUAGCAGACGACAAAUGUCCUGGCUAAAAACAUUCGCGGCUGGACCGGGUUUAACACACAGGCGCUUUUAAGAAAAGCAGAAGAUAGAGACGAAUUUGGAAUUCGUCAAAUGAUGGCAUAAAUGAAUAUUAUGUACGUUAGAAUGGUACAAAAACAAUGAAUUAACCUUGAAUGACAGAAUAAUAAUGAUAUCUAAUAAAAACAGAUUCGCACAAAAUGCAGUUAAUAAAAUGUAAUGCAAUAAAAUAAAUAUAAAUAUACAAUUAUACAAUACAGUUUAUGAACUGCAUUAUGUCGGUUUGAAUAUUUCGUUUGGACAUAUUCACUAUUAAUAAUUAUUAGUCAACGCUAGCAAACACAAUUCACGACUAUUAAUCUCACUGGUCACUUUUUUCCAACUGGAGGUGUAAAGAUUAUCGUUUCUACCGUCAAUGAGUAGGUAAGCGCCCCUGGAUUAUCUAAUAAAAUCCAAAUUUUUAUAUCUUUAUUAUACCUACCGCAAAUUUGAAACGUGACUUUUCAUGAGGUAAGGUUUAUACCCAGUGUAAUGUAUUUGCAUUUUAAGAUAUCAUUUCUGUUAUUCUUUGAAUUGAGAAAAAUAUUUCAGUUGUUUAUGGCUCCAUCGGUACCCAAACAAAUGCGGCUUCAAUUUAUUUUUCAGAAAAGGCUGGUUUUAUUAGAUUUUAUUGCUUCUUUCAAUAAUUCUUUGGAAGUGGUUGUCGUUUAAUUUUAGUGUUCUACUGGUGGCUUAAAGUUUAGAGUUGACAGAAAAAAAUAAUAAAUAAUAAAAAAAUUCUUAUAGACUAAAUACAAUAGGGGGGUCUAUAGACCCCUUGACCCUCCCCUGUAUCCGCGCCUGGUAACAAGUUUUUUUCAAAAGAAAUAAAUAUUGGUUUGAAAUACAUGGUGAUUCCAUAUAAGUUUGAUUGUGUAUAUUAUGUACCCACGGUUUUAUCUUAAGAAAAUGUAACCAGAUCAGGAUAAGCGCCUUUCGUGUGAACGGUAGAAAGUCUUCAUUUAUUUAACAUCAUAAAAACUUUGUGUUCUUGUGUUUGAGCUUUUGAUUAAACAUUGUGAUUUUUUCGUUCAAUUUAUCAAUUGCUAAAAGUUAUUAGAUCCCUUGUAUCGUCCAGUUGUCUGCAAACUAUGUACUUACCGAAACAACACAUUUCAUUGUUUUCAUAUUUUAUAGGAUUUAACAGAUCUCCUAACUUUUAGCUGAUGAUAAACAAUAUUUAGCAUAUAUUUUUUUAGUAGCUAAAUUUUUCUUAUUUUGGAAAAAAAUAAAUGUAUUAAUCAAUGUUGAGAAAAUGUAACGUGUAUUCAACUACUACUUACUACUUAAUUCAUCAACUACAUAUCCCACAAAAAUGAUCGAAUCUCACCAUUUUGUAACUUACUAAUAGGAAGAGAUAUGUAUUUAGGCCUAAGCAACCCAAUACAAUGUAUUUUUACCUUUUUUAAUCAAAUUCCUUUAUUAUAUAUAAGAUAAUUAUAAACUCUACGUAUGGGCCGGCGUAGUUCAGCGGUAGGAUGUCUGACUCGCUUGCUGGUAGACCUGGGUUCGAGACCCAGCGCCGGCAAGAACAACUAGACAUUUUUAAAUAGGCCCCAGGUCGACUCAGCCUGAAUAAAAUGAGUUCCUUGGCUAAAACCAGGGGUAAUAAUAGGCGGUUGAAGCGUAGCACUGGCCCUGUUAUCUUUCUUGUAUACCGUAGCCCUAGAGAUGACAGCCUGCUAUAAUCCUAAAGUCGCAUAUGCGGUAUAAAACGGGGAAACUAUUCUAUAAAUUCUAUGUUUUAUUAACAAAUUUAAAGUGGUACUAAUCCACAUCUGUGAUAGUCAUGGUCUUUUGACUGUGUUCAAAAAGUCUUAAAUUAUAUUUCUUAGUUGCAAACUAGUUCCAAGAAUAACUACAAUGAUUAUUUACAGAUUUGCCUAAAGAUAUACAGAUUCUAAUUGUUCGAUAGUUCCAUCAUUUCAUUAAUCAUAAUUAAAAACCUAUAAUGAAUCUUCAAAGCAAAACUAUACUACAAAUAUCUCAAAUGUAACUUUGACAUUUAGCAACGUUCUGCGACAUAAAUGCAAGAAAUUCGAUAAUUUUUGUGUGGUGUUAAUUUUAAAGUUGUUAUAACUUUCUUCCAAAGUUAUUUAGUGAUGAUUUUGACAAGUAUAACUACUAUAUCAUAUUUAGUUUUUUCUGAUUCGUCUACUAUGUUAUUAAAGCAGCUUCUGUUUAUCUGUAUUCGUUACAAAAAACUCUGGAUUUAGUACUAAAGAACACUAAACCACGUUUGGUUUAUUUUUGAAUUAGUAUUGUUUGGUACUAAAUUCCGAUGGUUCACAUAAUACUGCUACUAAAAUUGUAAAUUAUAUUUUAUAAGUACAUUACAGUCAUUGAUCACAUUAACAUUCACUUUUUUAUUGUAGAUUUCUGGACAAAUAUAUUUUAUUAUUAUCAGUA
rnacentral:misc_RNA from 1 species